UGGGGAAUUUUGGACAAUGGGCGAAAGCCUGAUCCAGCAAUGCCGCGUGUGUGAAGAAGGCCUUCGGGUUGUAAAGCACUUUUGUCCGGAAAGAAAUCCUUGGCUCUAAUACAGUCGGGGGAUGACAGUACCGGAAGAAUAAGCACCGGCUAACUACGUGCCAGCAGCCGCGGUAAUACGUAGGGUGCAAGCGUUAAUCGGAAUUACUGGGCGUAAAGCGUGCGCAGGCGGUUUGCUAAGACCGAUGUGAAAUCCCCGGGCUCAACCUGGGAACUGCAUUGGUGACUGGCAGGCUAGAGUAUGGCAGAGGGGGGUAGAAUUCCACGUGUAGCAGUGAAAUGCGUAGAGAUGUGGAGGAAUACCGAUGGCGAAGGCAGCCCCCUGGGCCAAAUACUGACGCUCAUGCACGAAAAGCGUGGGGGAGCAAAACAGGAUUAGAUACCCUGGUAGUCCACGCCCUAAACGAUGUCAGCUAGUUGUUGGGGGACUUCAUUUUCCUUAGUAACGUAGCUAACGCGUGAAGUUGACCGCCUGGGGAGUACGGUCGCAAGAUUAAAACUCAAAUGAAUUGACGGGGUCAUAGCUGUUUCCU
rnacentral:rRNA from 1 species